GAUAGUAUUAUAAUAAGGCAUCUUGUUGUAAUUAAAGCUAUAGCGGAUAAGGAUGAGCGUGCGCAAGAUUAGCUAGUUGGUGAGGUAACGGCUCACCAAGGCGACGAUCUUUAGCUGAUGUGAGAGCAUGAUCAGCCACACGGGCACUGAGACACGGGCCCGACUCCUACGGGAGGCAGCAGUGAGGAAUAUUGGUCAAUGGACGGAAGUCUGAACCAGCCAUGCCGCGUGAAGGAUGAAGGCGUUCUGCGUUGUAAACUUCUUUAUUUAGGAAGAAACCACCGAUUUCUAUUGGUGUUGACGGUAUUAAAUGAAUAAGCACCGGCUAACUCCGUG
rnacentral:rRNA from 1 species